rnacentral:rRNA from 1 species
CCUACGGGCGGCAGCAGUAGGGAAUAUUGCUCAAUGGGGGAAACCCUGAAGCAGCAACGCCGCGUGGAGGAUGAAGGUUUUAGGAUUGUAAACUCCUUUUGUUAAAGAAGAUUAUGACGGUAUCUAACGAAUAAGCCCCGGCUAACUCCGUGCCAGCAGCCGCGGUAAUACGGAGGGUGCAAGCGUUACCCGGAAUCACUGGGCGUAAAGAGUGCGUAGGCGGGGUAAUAAGUCAGAUGUGAAAUCCUGUAGCUUAACUACAGAACUGCAUUUGAAACUGUUACUCUGGAGUGUGGGAGAGGUAGGUGGAAUUCUUGGUGUAGGGGUAAAAUGCGUAGAGAUCAAGAGGAAUACUCGUUGCGAAGGCGACCUGCUGGAACAUUACUGACGCUGAUGCACGAAAGCGUGGGGAGCAAACAGGAUUAGAUACCCUUGUAGUC